rnacentral:SRP_RNA from 1 species
CCGUGCAGCCGGGGAGUUAGCGGUGCUCUGUACCUGCAAUCCGCUCUAGCAGGGGUGUUGCCUCACAGAGGGUCCUACCGGCUGGGCUGCCCAAAACAGCAGGCGUUGAGGUCCGGGUCCUGUGCAACAGAAACUCGUGAACCGUGUCAGGUCGGGAACGAAGCAGCACUAAGCGAUGCUUUUUGUGUGUCGCAGGGUCGCCUGGACUGAGUCUGGGGCUUUGGUAACGUCAGUAGGGAAGAUUCGAAGUGAGGCGCACGG